GCUUAACACAUGCAAGUCGAGCGGUAAGGCCCUUCGGGGUACACGAGCGGCGAACGGGUGAGUAACACGUGGGUGAUCUGCCUUGCACUUCGGGAUAAGCCUGGGAAACUGGGUCUAAUACCGGAUAUGACCUUCCAAUGCAUGUUGGUGGGUGGAAAGAUUUAUCGGUGCGAGAUGGGCCCGCGGCCUAUCAGCUUGUUGGUGAGGUAACGGCUCACCAAGGCGACGACGGGUAGCCGACCUGAGAGGGUGACCGGCCACACUGGGACUGAGACACGGCCCAGACUCCUACGGGAGGCAGCAGUGGGGAAUAUUGCACAAUGGGCGAAAGCCUGAUGCAGCGACGCCGCGUGCGGGAUGACGGCCUUCGGGUUGUAAACCGCUUUUGACAGGGACGAAGCGCGAGUGACUGUACCUGUAGAAUAAGGACCGGCCAACUACGUGCCAGCAGCCGCGGUAAUACGUAGGGUCCGAGCGUUGUCCGGAAUUACUGGGCGUAAAGAGCUUGUAGGCGGUUCGUCGCGUCGUUUGUGAAAACUUGGGGCUCAACCUUAAGCUUGCAGGCGAUACGGGCGGACUAGAGUACUUCAGGGGAGACUGGAAUUCCUGGUGUAGCGGUGAAAUGCGCAGAUAUCAGGAGGAACACCGGUGGCGAAGGCGGGUCUCUGGGAAGUAACUGACGCUGAGAAGCGAAAGCAUGGGUAGCAAACAGGAUUAGAUACCCUGGUAGUCCAUGCCGUAAACGGUGGGUACUAGGUGUGGGGCUCCUUCCACGGACUCCGUGCCGUAGCUAACGCAUUAAGUACCCCGCCUGGGGAGUACGGCCGCAAGGCUAAAACUCAAAUGAAUUGACGGGGGCCCGCACAAGCGGCGGAGCAUGUGGAUUAAUUCGAUGCAACGCGAAGAACCUUACCUGGGUUUGACAUACACCAGAAACACGUAGAGAUACGUGCCCCCUUGUGGUUGGUGUACAGGUGGUGCAUGGCUGUCGUCAGCUCGUGUCGUGAGAUGUUGGGUUAAGUCCCGCAACGAGCGCAACCCUUAUCUUAUGUUGCCAGCGCGUAAUGGCGGGGACUCGUGAGAGACUGCCGGGGUCAACUCGGAGGAAGGUGGGGACGACGUCAAGUCAUCAUGCCCCUUAUGUCCAGGGCUUCACACAUGCUACAAUGGCCGGUACAGAGGGCUGCGAUACCGUGAGGUGGAGCGAAUCCCUUAAAGCCGGUCUCAGUUCGGAUCGGGGUCUGCAACUCGACCCCGUGAAGUUGGAGUCGCUAGUAAUCGCAGAUCAGCAACGCUGCGGUGAAUACGUUCCCGGGCCUUGU
rnacentral:rRNA from 1 species